rnacentral:rRNA from 1 species
UACAGAGGUCUCAAGCGUUGUUCGGAUUCAUUGGGCGUAAAGGGUGCGUAGGCGGCGCGGUAAGUCGGGUGUGAAAUCUUGGAGCUUAACUCCGAAACUGCAUUUGAUACUGCCGUGCUUGAGGACUGGAGAGGAGACUGGAAUUUACGGUGUAGCAGUGAAAUGCGUAGAUAUCGUAAGGAAGACCAGUGGCGAAGGCGGGUCUCUGGACAGUUCCUGACGCUGAGACACGAAGGCCAGGGGAGCAAACGGG